rnacentral:rRNA from 1 species
AUUGAACGCUGGCGGCAGGCCUAACACAUGCAAGUCGAACGAGUGGCGGACGGGUGAGUAAGGUCUGUGACACUGCUUGAUGGAGGGGGAUAACUACUGGAAACGGUAGCUAUUACCGCAUACCAUCGGAUGUGCCCAGGUGGGAUUGGCUAGUCGGUGGGGUAAACGCUCACCUAGGCGACGAUCCAUAGCUGGUCUGAGAGGAUGACCAGCCACACUGGAACGGAGACACGGUCCAGACGCCUACGGGAGGCAGCAGUGGGGAAUAUUGCACAAUGGGCGCAAGCCUGAUGCAGCCAGGCCGCGUGUAUGAAGAAGGCCUUCGGGUUGUAAAGUACUUUCAGCGGGGAGGCGUUACCCGCAGAAGAAGCACCGGCUAACUCCGUGCCAGCAGCCGCGGUAAUAC